GCCUCCCGCCGCGGGGCUGGCUUUGCAGUUCACGCUUCCCGACCCGCACCCCUCCUCUGACCCCACAGGACUUGUGCAGGAGCAGGCGUCCAGCCAGCUGGCUUGUCACGAUUCCCAGCCUGAGAGAGAACAAGGCAGGGGGGUGUCUUCCAGCCAUGGGCUCCCUCCCCAAAUGACCACAACACCCGGAGUUGAGCCAAGUUGAAGCCAGGAGCCAGGAACUCCUCCUGGGUCUCCCAUGCGGGUGCAGGAGCCCAAGCACUUGGGCCAUCUUCCGCUGCUUUCCCAGGUACAUUAGCAGGGAGCUGCCUUGGAAGUGGCCCUGUAACAUGAGAUGCAUCCACAUUGCAGCUUAACCCGCUGGCCCAAAUCUAUCUCACAUACUUAAAAAUUCCAACCAGGGGCCAGCGCCGCGGCUCACUAGGCUGAUCCUCCGCCUGUGGUGCUGGUACCCCGGGUUCUAGUCCCGGUUGGGGUGCCGGAUUCUGUCCUGGUUGCUCCUCUUCCAGUCCAGCUCUCUGCUGUGGCCUGGGAAGGCAGUGGAGGAUGGCCCAAGUGCUUGGGCCCUGCACUCGCAUGGGAGACCAGGAGGAAGCACCUGGCUUCAGGUCGGCACAGCACGCUAGCCGUAGAGGCCAUUUGGGGGGUGAACCAACAGAAGGAAGACCUUUCUCUCUGUCUCUCUCUCUGCCUGUCCAAAAAAAAAAAAAAAAAAAAAUUCCAACCAGUCCUACUUUCUGGAAGUCACAUAAGAUAAAAUUAAGCUUUGCUCUUGGUUUUGUUCUCUGAUGGGUCGUUAAAUAUUUUCCCAGCAGAGCAGCCUUUUUAAAUGCUUGGGGGCUUUCUGAGGGUCUCCCUUCGGAACAGCACCAGCAGAAACGAGCCAGGGACAGCUGCUCUGGGGGAUGCUCGUGUGAUCCCAGCAACUCCAGGGGGAGAGAUUUUUUUCAUGUCUUUUUUUUUUUUUUCCCUAAAGUUCUGUAAGCUUGCACUCCCUAGAAGUCCUGGCUGGAAACAAUAUUAGGCAAGGUUGUGUAUUAAUCCCAGUUACUUAAAGCUGCACAUACAGUAAAGACUAAAUCCCGGCCGGUGCCGUGGCUCACUAGGCUAAUCCUCCGCCUUGCGGCGCCGGCACCCCGGGUUCUAGUCCCGGUCGGGGCACCGGUUUCUGUCCCGGUUGCCCCUCUUCUAGGCCAGCUCUCUGCUGUGUCCAGGGAGUGCAGAGGAGGAUGGCCCAAGUGCUUGGGCCCUGCACCCCAUGGGAGACCAGGAGAAGUACUUAGCUCCUGCCAUCGGAUCAGCGCGGUGCGCCGGCCGCAGCGCGGUGGCCAUUGGAGGGUGAACCAACGGCAAAAAGGAAGACCUUUCUCUCUGUCUCUCUCUCUCUCUCUCACUGUCCACUCUGCCUGUCAAAAAAAAAAUAAAAAAAUAAAAAUAUAAAAAGACUAAAUCCCAGGGUUUUCUUUUACUGUUUUUAAAAAAUUUUAUUUAGAGGCCGGCACUGUGGUGUAGCGGGUAAAGCCACUGUCUGCAGUGCCAGCAGUCCAUAUGGGCGCCAGUUCAGGUCCUGGCUGUUCCAUUUCUGAUCCAGCUCUCUGCUCUGGCCUGGGAAAGCAGCAGAGGAUGGGCCAAGUGCUUGGGUCCCUGCACCCGCACUGGAGACCUGCAAGAAGUUCCUGGCUCCUGACUUUGGAUCAGCAUAGCUCUGGCUGUUGCAGCCAAUUGGGAGGUGAACCAGCAGAUGGAAGACCUCACUCUCUUUCUCUCUCUCUGUUUCUGCCUCUCCUUCUCUCUCUGUGUAAUUCUUUUAAAUUUAUUUGCAAAAAUUUUAUUUAUUUACAAGGCUGAGCAAUGGGGGGAGUGGGAAGGAGAGAUCUUCCAUCCACGGGUUCACUCCCCACAUGGCUGCAACAGCCAGGGCUGGGCCAGGCUGAAGCCAGGAGCUCCAUCUGGGUCUCCCAUGUGGGUGCAGGAGCCCAAGCACCUGGGCCCUCGUCCACUGUUUUCCCAGCCACAUUAGCAGGGAGCUGGAUCAGAAGCAGAGCCGCUGGAACUCAGACUAGAUGGGAGCAUCACAAGCAGACGCUCCACCCGCUACAUGUCGGUGCCGGCUGCCAGUGCUGGCCUCUUAGGUUGAUGAAUUACAGGGGAGGCACCCCAGGGGCAGUGAUGGCGUCCUGUGCUUUCCACCCUGUGUGGCUGUUUCCUGUCUCGUCUGAGUCCUGGCAGUCCAAUCCACUCUCGGGCCUGGGCUGCCACUUGGCAUGGUGGAACGGCCACAGCAGGUGGGCUGUGGAUUGGGACUUAGCGUUAUCUGCAGCUUCUCACUGCUGCCCACAGCCGUGUACAGAAACCAUGGCGGAAGUGUGUGCUGUGUGCCAACUCUGACAGCCCUGUUGGUCGGCAGUGCCUUUGCUUUUGCCGGAAUGAGCAGGUGCCUAUGACGUUUGCUUUAAGAAAGCAGAAGCCUGGGGCUGGCAUUGUGGCGUGGCAGGUUAAGCUGUGGCCAGCGUCCCUCAUGGGCGCCGGUUCCAGUCCCGGCUGCUCCGCUUCAGAUCCAACUCCCUGCUGCUAGUGCACCUAGGAAAGCAGAAGAUGGCCCAGGUGCUUGGACCCCUGCUCCCACGUGGGAGACCCGGAGGAAGCUCCUGGCUCCAGCCUGGCCCUGCCCCAGCUGCUGCAGCCAUGUGGGGAGUGAACCAGUGGAUGGAAGAUUGCUCCCUCUCUCUAACUGCCUUUCAAAUAAUAAAUAAAUCUUUAAAAAUUAAAAAAAAAAGCAGAAGCCUGAACUGGGAAGCAGGAGCAGCUUCUGCUGUGAUGGAGUUCCUCUGGAAGACUGUGUGUGGGGGUGGGGUGUGUGUAUGUGUAAAACUGUGUAGGGCUGUGUGUGUGGCUGUGUAGGUGUAGGGGUGUGUAGGUAUGUGUAUGUACAGGGGUAGAUGUAGGUAUAAAGAUGUGUUUGUAGGUGUGGGUGUAUAGGUGUGGGUGUGUACAAGGGUAUGUUUAGGUGUGUGUGUGUACAGGGGUGCGUGUAGGUUUAAGAGUGUAUGUAGGGAUGUAUGGGUGUAGGGGCAUGUGUGUAGGUCUAGGGGGCAUGUCUGUGUGAGUGUGUAGGGAUGUGUGAAAGUGUAGGUAUAGGUGUGUGAGUGCGUUCUAGGGUGUGUGAAGGUAUAGGGGUGUGUGUGUGUAGGUAUAGAUGUAUGUGUGUGAAGGUAUGGGUGUGUGUGUGUGUGUAGGUAUGGUGUGCAUUGGUAUAGGGGUGUGUGUGUAGGUAUAGAUGUGUGUUAGGUAUAUGUGUGUAGGUAUAGAUGUAUGUGUGUAGGUAUGGGUGUGUGUGUGUGUGUGUGUAGGUAUGGUGUGCAUUGGUAUAGGGGUGUGUGUGUAGGUAUAGAUGUGUGUUAGGUAUAUGUGUGUAGGUAUAGAUGUAUGUGUGUAUGGGUGUGUGUGUGUGUGUAGGUAUGGUGUGCAUUGGUAUAGCGGUGUGUGUGUAGGUAUAGAUGUGUGUUAGGUAUAGGUGUGUGUGUGUAGGGAUGGGUGUGUGUGUGUGUAGGUAUGGUGUGCAUUGGUAUAGCGGUGUGUGUGUAGGUAUAGAUGUAUGUGUGUGUGUAGGUAUCGGUUGGGAUCAUGGUUGCUUGUCUGUUAGGAUGCGUGCACACUCGGGAACACGGCACUGCCUGCUCCUUGUGUUCCGUGCUCCCUCGUUGGGGUCAUCCUCGUCCCCUCUUGUGUUUUAUUGAGGAACAAUUUUCCCUUUCACUUCAGAACCACUUUAUAGGAUGAAAUAGAUACUGAAUCUGAAAUCUGUUUAUUUUGGUAAUUUUCCCUUACUGGUCUUUGUGAGGAAGAGCAAGCUCAGUGUAGAUUUAAUUAUGUUUUUGAAAGUUAGAGUUGCAGAGAGGGAAAGAGAGAUCUUCCACCUGCUGGUUCACUCCCCAGAUGGCCGUAACAGUCGGUGCUGGGCCAGACUGGAGCCAGGAGCUUCAUCCAGGCCUCAAAUGUGGGUGCUGGGCCCAGACACAUCUGCUGCUGCUUUCCCCCAGGGAGCUGGAUUGGAAGUGGAGCAGCUGGGACACAGACCAGCACCUAUGUGGGUGGGAUGCCAGUUUUGCAGGCAGUGGCUUUACCUGCUAUGCCACCACGCUGGCCUCCAUUGUGUAUUGGUUGUUUUUGGUAUUUUUAAAAAUUUAUUUUAUUUAUUUGAAAGAGCCACAGAGAGGAGAGAGAAAGGGAGAGACCCUCCAUCCACUGGUUCACUCCCCAAAUGGCCAAAACCACCAGGGCCUGGCCAGGCGGAAGCCAGGAGCCUUCUCCAGGUCCCCGACGUGGGUGCAGGGGCCCAAACACGUGACCCAUCUUCCACUGCUUUUCCACGCCAUUAGCAGGGAGCUGGACUGGAAGUGGAGCAGCCGGGACCCAGACUGGUGCCCACGUGUUUCUGUGUCCCGUCAUCCUGCUGGGUUGACUGGUUUUCCUGUGUCCCGUCAUCCUGCUGGGUUGACUGGUUUUCCUGUGCCCCAUCAUCCUAUUUGAUUGGUUUUCCUGUGUCCCGUCAACCUGCUGUUUGAUUGGUUUUCCUGUGCCCCAUCAUCCUGCUAUUUGAUUGGUUUUCCUGUGUUCCAGGAAUGAAUCCUGUCGGGCCUUAGGGUGCUUGAAGGUGCUGCUGACUCCAUUGCUGGUGUUUUGGGGACUGCUGGCUCUGUGUUUGUGGGGGGCGGGGGCGUUAGCUGUGGGCUUCCUGUGGUGUCUUUCUCUGCCUCUGUCCUCACAGGCUGGGGUAGGCAGUGCCUGGCUGACUGCUCUUGGUGGUCAGGAGUUGUGGGUGCAGCCACAUGGCUCUGGGGUCCCGACGCUGACCGAGUCCCCCUGUGUCUCAAUGGGGCGGCUGGCUGGGGUAGGCUGUGGGUUUCAGGGGUCUUUCUCGUGCAGGCUCCUGGUGUGCAGCCGCUCGGGGUGUCCUCGCGCAGGCCUUGUUGUUUUGGCAAAGGUCUCAUUGCUAAUUCUAGUGGUCUGUGUUUCCCCGUCCGCCCAGCUAAAUGCCAGUGCAGUUGGUCCUCUGAAACCUCUUGGCUCCGGCGGUUUUUCCCAGUUGGUUUUCUCUGCUCUGUGUCUCGUGUUUCCACUCUGGUUAUUUCCUUCCCUCCGCGAGCUUUGGAGGUAGUUGACUUUUAUUUAUCUGAAAGGCAGAGUUACAGAGAGCGGGGGAUCUUCCAUCCGCUGGUUCACUCCCUGAAUGGCCACAAUGGCCAGGACUGAGCCAGGAACCAGGAGUUUCCUCCAGGUCUCCCAUGCGGGUGCAGGGACCCAAGCACUUUGGGCCAUCUUCUGCUGCUAUCCCAGGCCAUCAGCAGGGAGCUGGAUGGGAAGUGGAGCAGCCGGGACCCGACUAGGCGCCCACACGGGAUGCCGGCGUCGCAGGUGGCAGCUGUACCUACUGCACCACAGCAGCCCCUCGUUUUCAUUUGUCCCAAGGUAUUUUCUUCCCUCUGACUUCUUCUUUGACUCACUGGUGAGCACUUGUGUUCAAACUCCACAUGUUUACCAGUUUUCCAGCUUUUUUUUCUUCUGGCUCCAUCCUCACGAGCAGAAGUCGGUUCUUUGCUCCUCUCCCACGGCUGCCAGGGAACGUCCGCCAGUUCCCCGAGAGCUCAUCAGGGACAGAUAAGGCGCAGCUUGGGACACCUGCAUCCCGUGUCAGGCGCCUGGGUUCAAGUCCCGGCUCUGCUUCUAAUCCCAGCUUCCUGCUCACGUGUCCCCAGAGAGACAGGUGGAGGUGGCUCAAGGAGUUGGUCCCUGCUGUCCAGGAUGGACCUGGAUUGGGUUCCCAGCUCUCUGUUUAGGUCUGGCCCCGGCCGUUGCACAUACUUAUCUUUUCCAGUAAAAUGGAUGGAGAAGGACUCUGUGCCUUCCAGAGCUGGAGCUCUGACUGUCCGCUGUACACGGGGGCGCCUCUCGCUGCUGGCCCUGCUUCCCUGAAGAACCCUCACCUGAGCCGCAGGCUUGUCUCCAGCGCAGGUUCUGUUCGCCGUCCGCCUGCCGGGGUCCACGCACAGGGCGCCUGGCAGAGCUCGGGAUAGCCACAGGCGUUUGUUGGACCUUGUCAGUGGCUCGAGGGGGUGAUGGGAAGCCCUGGGAUCCUUGGGUUGCUCUUUGUAGCGUUUAAAUGGCAAUGCUUAGCUGCUUUUAUAGGCCCGUCAGCGAUAUGGGCUGUGAACUGGAGCCGUGCAGUAAAGUGAAGCCAUUUUUUUUUUUUUUUUGACAGGCAGAGUGGACAGAGAGAGAGAGACAGAGAGAAAGGUCUUCCUUUGCCAUUGGUUCACCCUCCAAUGGCCGCCGCUGCCGGCACGCUGCGGCCAGUGCACCGCGCUGAUCCGAUGGCAGGAGCCAGGUGCUUCUCCUGGUCUCCCAUGGGGUGCAGGGCCCAAGGACUUGGGCCAUCCUCCACUGUACUCCCAGGCCACAGCAGAGAGCUGGACUGGAAGAGGGGCAAC